rnacentral:ncRNA from 2 species
UUCUUAUCCAGAGAGGUGGAGGGACUGGCCCUUUGAAGCCUCAGCAACAGGUCUGUUAAGAUACUGUGCUAAUUCCAGCGGGUGUUUCAAACCCUGAUAGAUAGGAG